rnacentral:rRNA from 1 species
AGAGUUUGAUCCUGGCUCAGAACGAACGCUGGCGGCGGGUUCAGGCAUGCAAGUCGAACGAUUCCCGCAAGGGAAUAGUGGCAGAAGGGUUAGUAACACGUGGGCAAUCUACCCUCGAGUCGGGGAUAACCCGCGAAAGCGGGGCUAAUACCCGAUAACAUCACUUGGUGGCAUCAUCGAGUGAUCAAAAGGUGGCGCAAGCUGCCGAUUGAGGAGGAGCCCGCGGCCUAUCAGCUAGUUGGUGAGGUAACGGCCCACCAAGGCAUUUGACGGGUAGCUGGUCUAAGAGGACGAUCAGCAACAUUGGGACUGAGACACUGCCCAGACUCCUACGGGAGGCUGCAGUCGAGGAUCUUUAGCAAUGCCCGAAAGGGUGACUAUGCGACGCCGCGUGCAGGAUGAAGGCCUUCGGGUCGUAAACUGCUGUCAAGGAGGAAGAAACCCCAUUAUUUAAAAGAUGAUGGGCUGACAUCACUCCUAAAGGAAGCCACGGCUAACUCUGUGCCAGCAGCCGCGGUAAGACAGAGGUGGCAAGCGUUGUUCGGAUUUAUUGGGUGUAAAGGGUCCGUAGGUGGUCGUGUAAGUCCGGCGUGAAAUCCCAUGGCUCAACCGUGGACUGCGUUGGAAACUGCAUGACUUGAGUACCGCAGAGGUAAAGGGAAUUCUCGGUGUAAGGGUGAAAUCUGUAGAUAUCGAGAGGAACACCAGUGCGAAGGCGCUUUACUGGGCGGUUACUGACACUGAGGGACGAAAGCAAGGGGAGCAAACAGGAUUAGAUACCCUAGUAGUCC